AUACGGAAGGUCCGGGCGUUAUCCGGAUUUAUUGGGUUUAAAGGGAGCGCAGGCGGAGAUGCAAGCGUGACGUCAAAUUUCGGGGCUCAACCCCGUCUCGCGUCGCGAACUGCGUCCCUUGGUUGCGGGAAGGGGAGGCGGAACUCGGGGUGUAGCGGGGAAAUGCAUAGAUAUCACGAAGAACUCCGAUCGCGAAGGCAGCCUUCCGGCCCGUCAACGACGCUCAUGCUCGAAGGUGCGGGUAUCAAACAGGAUUAGAUACCCUGGUAGUCCGCACAGUAAACGAUGGACACCCGCGGUUUGGCCUGUAUGGCUGAGCCGCCAAGCGAAAGCGUUAAGUGUCCCACCUGGGGAGUACGCCGGCAACGGUGAAACUCAAAGGAAUUGACGGGG
rnacentral:rRNA from 1 species